GAAACUAGCUGACUAGAAGACGGUAGAGGAAGGUGGAAUCCAAGUGUAGAGGUGAAAUUCGUAGAUAUUUGGAGGAAUACUGUGGCGAAGGCGGCUUCUGGACCGAUCUUGACGCUGAGACGCGAAAGCGUGGGUAGCAAACAGGAUUAGAUACCCUGGUAGUCCACGCCGUAAACGAUGGGUACUAGAUGUUGCGGGAAUUGACCCCUGCAGUGUCGACGCUAACGCAUUAAGUACCCCGCCUGGGAAGUACGGUCGCAAGAUUAAAACUCAAAGGAAUUGACGGGGGCCCGCACAAGCGGUGGAGCAUGUGGUUUAAUUCGAUGCAACGCGAAGAACCUUACCUGGGUUUGACAUCCCUAGACAGCCGUAGAGAUACGGUUUCCUCUUCGGAGGCUGGGAGACAGGUGCUGCAUGGCUGUCGUCAGCUCGUAUCGUGAGAUGUCGGGUUAAGUCCCUUAACGAGCGCAACCCCUAUCUUUAGUUGCCACCAUUCAGUUGGGCACUCUAGAGAGACCGCCGGCGUUAAGCCGGAGGAAGGCGGGGAUGACGUCAAGUCCUCAUGGCCCUUAUAUCCAGGGCUACACACGUGCUACAAUGGCCGACACAAAGGGUUGCCAACCAGCGAUGGGGAGCUAAUCUCAGAAAGUCGGUCUCAGUUCGGAUUGAAGUCUGCAACUCGACUUCAUGAAGCUGGAGUCGCUAGUAAUCGCGGAUCAGAACGCCGCGGUGAAUACGUUCCCGGGCCUUGUACACACCGCCCGUCACACCACGAAAGUUAGUCGCACCAGAAGUCGCUGUCCCAACCGUAAGGAGGGAGGCGCCCAAGGUGCGGCCGAUGAUUGGGGUGAAGUCGUAACAAGGUAACCAAGGG
rnacentral:rRNA from 1 species